UACGGAGGGAGCUAGCGUUAUUCGGAAUUACUGGGCGUAAAGCGCACGUAGGCGGCUUUGUAAGUAAGAGGUGAAAGCCCAGAGCUCAACUCUGGAAUUGCCUUUUAGACUGCAUCGCUUGAAUCAUGGAGAGGUCAGUGGAAUUCCGAGUGUAGAGGUGAAAUUCGUAGAUAUUCGGAAGAACACCAGUGGCGAAGGCGACUUACUGGACACGUAUUGACGCUGAGGUGCGAAAGCGUGGGGAGCAAACAGG
rnacentral:rRNA from 1 species